ensembl:snRNA U1 U1 spliceosomal RNA
GAACUAUACUGGCAAGGGAGAUACCAUGAUCGCCUAGGUGGUUUUCCCAGGGUGAAGUUUAUCCAUUGCACUCUGGAUGUGCUGACCCUGGUGAUUUCUCCAAAUGUGGGAAGCUCGACUGCUUAAUUUGUGGUAGUAGGAGACUGCGUUUGCGCUUUCCCCUG